rnacentral:misc_RNA from 2 species
AACGCACCUUGCGCUCCUUGGUAUUCCGAGGAGCAUGCCUGUUUGAGUGUCAUGAAACUCUCAACCUUCAACUUUUUUAUUAAGGCUGAAGGCUUGGACUUGAGCGUUGCUGGUUUUUACUAACCGGCUCGCUUGAAAUGAAUUAGCAGAUCCUUUUUGUAAUCGGUUCCACUCGACGUGAUAAGUAUUUCGCCGAGGACAUACGAAAGUAUGGCCGAGAUAAAGAAAGUCUUUAGAUCCGCUUCUAAUUCUUAGAUAGAGCUUGCUCUACUAAACCCCAUUUUAUGAUCUGGCCUCAAAUCAGGUAGGACUACCCGCUGAACUUAA